CCGGUUCGUUCCUGGCUGGACACCUAUAAUCUCUCCCGAAUCUUCUUCUUUCCUUCCUCUCUCCACUUGUUUAUUUCUCCAUUGAUCUUCUGCAGCUCCUCUUGAGAUCAUGUGGCUGACCUCCACCGAUCUCCUUGCCCGAGCUGCUCUUUUUGAGAUCCCAUGCCAGCGGUGCAGGCCGGUGGCGGCGACCGCGUGAUGGGGAAGCUGCGGGUCGGCGACCUUAGGGGCGGGGCAAGCGCGUGCCGGCGGCGGCGGCGACGACAACGGGGCUGCCGCUGGCCGGUGGCAGCGACCGCGUGAUGGGGAAGCCGUCUGCCGGCUGUGGCGACCGGGAGGCUGCCGCGGGCCGAUGGAGGCGACCGAGGGAUGCUGCAGGCGCGUGCCUGUGACAGAGCUGGGGCGGAGCUGGGACGGCGGCCUUAGGGUGGAGCACGCGUGGGCUGGCGGCGGCCACACCGGGGCGGAGCAGGCAGGGGUCGACACCUUCCCUGGCCGCCUAGCGCGGCAGCACGUCUUCCCAAUCCUUUUUUUCUUUUCCAUCUUUUUUCCCCUUUUGGUGGCAACAAAUUUCACGUUUGGAUCGAUUUCUGUUCUACAUCACAUCGCUGCGGUGACCGUUCUUUCGUUUGCUGCAUCCGUUACCUUCCCAAUUUAUUCGUUUUUUUUUGCUUCCCUUUGAUUUUCUCUGGUUGAUUCGAUGUCUUCGCUGCUGCUGCUCCGUGUGGUCACCGUUGUAGCCUGCCGCGGCAUCCCAGUCGACGUUGUACUGUCUGCAGCUGGCCGCCGCCGCGCAUGGCCCGCUGGUGCAGCCUCAGCGACGGACGCUGCUCGCGCUCGGUGCCGGCGCAGCCUCUACGACCGUCGCCGCCGCUUCUUGCGCUCGGCUUGCUGACCACACACACGGCUCGCCGGCUCAGCCUCCGCUGGCCACGCGCACGGCUUACGGGCGCAGCCUCUGCGACCGCCGCCACCCCUGCUUGCGCUCGGCUCGCUGACCACGCGCACGUGGCUCCGGCGCAGCUUAUGCGACAACCGCCGGUGCUCCCGUUCGGCUCGCCGAACCUGGCUCCGCGGCCGCAGCAAUCUCGCCACUCUCCCGCAGCUCACUGGCCCUUCCUCCAUCGCCUCCAUCAGCCUGAGAGGCUGCAGCACAAGGGCGAGGCGGGUGGCGGCGGUGAAGGCGGACUGUCCCGUGAGGAGAAGAGGCAGCGACGGAGGUGCAGUGACGCCCUUUCUCCAUUCCCUGCAGUUUUAUAUUAGCUUAUUUCGUGCACUGCUAUCCGCUGAUAGCAGGAGUGAAUUUUCCCUUCCAGAUGUAUGUUCAACAGGACUUGGUUUACACGUAGCUGUGGUGGUAGGCCGCCGGGGCAGUCGGAAGAGGUCGUUCGGGGGCCUCUGCUUCUCGCCAGUCGGAGGUCGACGCCCCCAGGUUAUUGUUGCUGCCCCAUUUGGCUUUGCUCCUGCUCCACAGUCGUGGCCAACUCUGCCGCCUUUGCCCUUCCUACUGAUCUACAGGUCGAUUGCGUCCCUGUAAGAUCGUUGUUGUUUCUGCUUUUGCCCUUCCCAUUAAAUAUUCAAAUAUUCAGGUUCGCUUCCAUAUAGCUGAACACCGACACAAUUUCAUGACUGCAAAAAGAAGGUGUCCUCCCAGCUGUUCAAGCCAUAGGUUGAAGCCGUUUAUUCAGCAAAUUUUGCUAGAAAUCUACAGCUUCCUGUUUGCAAUGCGGCAUAAAAAUCUACAGCAACACCGCACAUUUACUCACUCUUGGAACUCAGAUCUUCUUCUUUUAAUAUCUUCUCUUAAUAGCUACCAUAUACACUGUGGGUUUGAGUUUACAAAUUAUCUACAAAAGCACAUGUGCGGAUCAACAAAAAGAAAGCAGACGGCUGGAAAGCUCUUUGGAAUAUGUACCGUUAGGCCUAGACCAGUGUGAAUAUCGAUGGGCACUGUACAAUAUAACUCGGCCUCCGCUGUAUGACCUGAUGUACAUAAGUGUCUUAACUUUCAGAUUAUGUCCAUGUUGCCUCUUGCAUUGUGCAUUUAGAUUCAUCUUUACUAAAAACACCACCGCUAACAGUGCAUAACCCAUUAAUCUUCUGCUCACCAACUGCAUCUAAUCUGGACUUAAUAAGAUUCUCUACAAACAUACGCCUACGGGCCUAUGGGUGCGGCGUGGGGGCGGCGAUGGUGAGGGAUUUGAGGCGACGACCAUGCCGGCAUCGAAGAUCUCCAGGCGAAGGUGAUGUCACCUGCGUGAGACCGCAUACCAUCAUGGCAUGCCCCGGUCCUCCCCUGUCCCUGUGGUCGAUGCCACUGCCUAUGGCUGUCAGGUCACCGCCAGGGCUUAAGCCGGAUCCCACGGUGCCUCCCCCAUCCCCGCAUUUUCUGCAGAGCUUGGAGAGCAAUCCUAUCUUAUUCAGUGGGGAGGCCCAUCAUGCCCAGUCUUCCGCAUCAGCAGUUGUCCACCUCCUUUUGCCCUUGCAGAUUGCAGCCAAUGACAAGCGGAGAGAGAUUGCUACUGAGGGUACAUCUCUUAUCGUGAUAGUAAGUUGACUUGCAUUCUCAAGUCAUCACUUGGAGGCAAUGCAAAGACAUCAAUCAUAUGUGCUGCUGUAUCUAAAGAGGUGUGCUCAUAUUUACAUUUGCUACAUCCCAUUAAAUCAUAGUCUCAAUGCCAAUAUUUCUAUACUACUUUUUCAUUCCCAUGAUUCAAACAUAUAAACAUAUGCUGGUUGGCUAUAGUUUCGACUCUUCGUUGGUUGUUUGGUAGGUUUCAUUCAAAUUAAGUUUGUAUGAUUCUUUAAUUUUGGAGGCAUAGCAGCAACGUAUGCACUGUUAACAAGUAGAGCCCUUUGUCGCCCUGACAUUUCGGUGCUCAAUUGUCAGCUUUCAUAUUUAUAUAAACUACUUGGCUUCUUAUAUCCGAUGGUGUUGGGUGUUAUAAUAAGAUUCUUAUAUUUGGAAUAUUUAUUUUAUAUUGGAAGUUUGUUCUUACAUUGAUAUAGAAAUAGAGUUAUAUGCUUCUCUAGAUAUAGAGUUUAUGCUGUUAUUGUUUAGACUAAUUCACAUGAGUUGAAGCAUGUCUUCUUUAAACUUCUCGUAUGGCUUUGCAAUAUCAGUUGCUUUUUCCUCAUGGUGAUAAAUGAUUCCAUCUCAGCAUUAAGUAUGUCUGUCAAUCUUCUGCAUAUGGUCGUGGUGCACGUUCUCAUGUGCCCACAGCGCCUCCUUCUUUUCCAGUGUCUGCUGCAUCAUCUUCUCGUGAUGAGGUGUCUAUGUUGGAGUUUUAUUCUUAUUAUUUUCAUUAUCGGCAUAAGAACCAAAUCCUUACACAUGCUGUGGGCGCCUUAGUCAGCAAGUUACUGUGAAUGCUUAUUCCUGUGAGGAGGCCAAUAGGCUACCAUAUCAUUUUUUUUAAUCAGCAGGCUCUGCGGUCUGAAACGUAAUCAGGGGCAUUACUAAUGCUGUUGGGGAAGGUAGUUCUACUGGGAAAAAUCUGGGUGUUCAAUAUAUACUUCAUUCAAGUUCCACUGGUGGUCCUCGGUAUAUGGUUCAGAAUUACCAUGAUUGUAUGGCCACUUGCCGUGCACAUGGUGCUCCUGAUCUUUUUUUUUUUACUUCUACAUGUAAUCCCAAGUGGCAAGAGAUUACUGAUGCUUUGGCUUUUGGAGCCAGGCCAGUCUGCGUCAGAUCGCCCUGAUAUAUUGUUACAAGGGUUUUCCAUAUGAAAUAUGAUGAAUUUCUUGCUGAUGUAAAGAGGGGUGCUUUAUUGAUCCUGCCAAAGUGUGCGAGCAUUCUUUUCCGUGGGCUAGGUUUCUUGGAUCAGAUUGUCCAAUGUCUACCGUAGGAGCUUUGCUGCUUUAUUGGGUUCUCUGAUCUAUUGUAUCUUUUUGUUUCCUCUUUUCUCUCUUGCAUAAUUUGUGUUUGUUGGAAAAUUUUCAGGCCCAUAUUAAUGUAGAGUGGUGUAACAGAAUUUUUUGUUGAAGUAUUUGUUUAAGUAUGUUACCAAGGGUCAUGACGUGGUGCGUAUACAUUUUCAAGCUGCCUCUAAUUCUGCGUUUGGUUGAUGCUUCUGGAUUUGCCUCUUGGCAGAAAUGAGAUGGAGGAAUACAUUAAGUGUACCUUUCGGCAUGUGAGGCGUGUUGGCGCAUGUUUGCCUACUAUUCUGUUGAGCGGCUUAUUGUCCACCUACCCUGGCAUGAAUAGAAUUAUUUUUCAUGAGGAUGAUCUCCUUGCUUCUUUGGUCGAUAAUUCGUCUUUUUACAUGACUAUGUUAACAGAAUGGUUUGUGGCCAACCGAGAUCAUACAGACGCUACGUCCUUGACUUACCUAGACUUUCCUCGCUGGGUUUGGGAUGCUUCUAAUAGGCUUGGAAGAAUAUACCAUGUUCACCCUGUUACUAGAGAGUUGUUUUUUUUCCUUCGAAUGCUGCUAUUGGUAGUGGCCAGUGCUACCUAUUUCGAAGACCUCCGGCUGUACAACGGUGUUCUAUAUGGUAAUUUAAAAAAAAGCAUGUGAGGCUCGGGGUUUGGUUAGUGAUGAUAAUGAAUGGUUCAGUCCGUUCGAAGAGGCAAUUGUAUGGGCCUCUCCGUUUCAGUUGAGGCAUUUGUUCAGAUGUAGUUGAGGAAUUUGUUGAUGACUGUUUUGUUGUUCUGUGAGGUUAUUAGGGCUAAUGAAUUGUUCCAUCGAUA